ACGCUCGACACCUACGAGAGGCAGCAGUGGGGAAUAUUGCACAAUGGGGGAAACCCUGAUGCAGCGACGCCGCGUGAGCGAAGAAGUAUCUCGGUAUGUAAAGCUCUAUCAGCAGGGAAGAAGAUGACGGUACCUGACUAAGAAGCACCGGCUAAAUACGUGCCAGCAGCAGCGGUAAUCUGAGCGGGCUGGCAAGGC
rnacentral:rRNA from 1 species